rnacentral:rRNA from 1 species
CACGCAGGCGGUCUGUCAAGUCGGAUGUGAAAUCCCCGGGCUCAACCUGGGAACUGCAUUCGAAACUGGCAGGCUUGAGUCUUGUAGAGGGGGGUAGAAUUCCAGGUGUAGCGGUGAAAUGCGUAGAGAUCUGGAGGAAUACCGGUGGCGAAGGCGGCCCCCUGGACAAAGACUGACGCUCAGGUGCGAAAGCGUGGGGAGCAAACAGGAUUAGAUACCCUGGUAGUCCACGCCGUAAACGAUGUCUACUUGGAGGUUGUGCCCUUGAGGCGUGGCUUCCGGAGCUAACGCGUUAAGUAGACCGCCUGGGGAGUACGGCCGCAAGGUUAAAACUCAAAUGAAUUGACGGGGGCCCGCACAAGCGGUGGAGCAUGUGGUUUAAUUCGAUGCAACGCGAAGAACCUUACCUGGUCUUGACAUCCACGGAAGAAUUCAGAGAUGGAUUUGUGCCUUCGGGAACCGUGAGACAGGUGCUGCAUGGCUGUCGUCAGCUCGUGUUGUGAAAUGUUGGGUUAAGUCCCGCAACGAGCGCAACCCUUAUCCUUUGUUGCCAGCGGUCCGG